rnacentral:rRNA from 1 species
AUUGAACGCUGGCGGCAGGCCUAACACAUGCCAGUCGAGCGGAUGAAGGGAGCUUGCUCCUGGAUUCAGCGGCGGACGGGUGAGUAAUGCCUAGGAAUCUGCCUGGUAGUGGGGGAUAACGUCCGGAAACGGGCGCUAAUACCGCAUACGUCCUGAGGGAGAAAGUGGGGGAUCUUCGGACCUCACGCUAUCAGAUGAGCCUAGGUCGGAUUAGCUAGUUGGUGGGGUAAAGGCCUACCAAGGCGACGAUCCGUAACUGGUCUGAGAGGAUGAUCAGUCACACUGGAGCUGAGACACGGUCCAGACUCCUACGGGAGGCAGCAGUGGGGAAUAUUGGACAGUGGGCGAAAGCCUGAUCCAGCCAUGCCGCGUGUGUGAAGAAGGUCUUCGGAUUGUAAAGCACUUUAAGUUGGGAUGAAGGGCAGUAAGUUGAUACCUUGCUGUUUUGACGGUACCAACAGAAUAAGCACCGGCUAACUUCGUG